AUACUGGCCAGCAUCUCCAAACUCUUUGACUUGAAUGAUCAGGUUUUUUCCAGAGCCUAAGACCUCAUUGCUCUCGUCCAAGGUCCAGGUGAUACCAUCUUCUUCAGGGGUGUCACAGCUCUACAUAGACCCAGGAAAAAAUUACUUCAUGUCCCUGUAAAAACUUUUUCACAAACUUAAGUGCACCGGCUUUGAAAUGAGACAGAAUUGGGAUCAAGUCCCUGUUCCACCCUUACCAGAAGGUCUUUUGGUUGCUCACAAGGGGACAUCAAAGAUGACAGAAAGGAGUGGAAGAAGACGGAGAGAAUCAAUGUGAGGAGCCGGGAACAGGAUUCUGAAUUGUCCUUCCACAAUGAAAUCACUUGGCUAUAGCUGAGCCACGGAUUUGACUCUGAGCAUCUAGGAUGAGAAAGAGGAACUGGCAUCUGUCCAUCUCUGCCCCAUGGGACUGACUGUUUUGGAACAUCCGGCCGGAAGCCCAUUAAAGAGCGGAAGAGCAGAAAUGCAGAGGAGGAAUUCAACAUCUGCUCCACCAGCAUGUUCCUUGGUCUCUCUCAUCUGCUUCUGUAGCUGGAUCACAUUCCUGGAUCUUACCAGGAAAACUGAAAGAAUUCACAGAGCCUUUGAAAAAAGCAGCAGGCUGUAGCCUACUCCAUGAGACAGGUGAAAAAUUUCUUCUAGUAAAAUUGAUGCUCCAAGAAGAUACACAACGUUGGCCAUGUGGAUUCUGCUAUCUUCUACUUGGAUCUCAACCUGGAUCUUGUGCAAGUUUGAGAAGCAUAGAUUAGCUACAGAUUUCUUCAUUAAAACUUUCCCCCAAAGAGGAAAGCAUACGUCUAGCAAAUACCCCAUCAAGUUAAAGCUGAGAUGGUGGGACCACCCUCUGUACCUAUGAAGUGGCAUUGAGUGCACAGAUGCUAUGCUAGAGAGAGCAUGUGGAGAGACUCCACAGAGAGUGAUGUCCAAGGAUCCUCUGCUGUUCCUGCCUUUGAGCCAACCCAGCUGAUGCCAGUAGAGCAGAGAUGAGCUGUCCCCACCAAGUCCUGCGAAGAUUGCAGAUUUGUGAACAAAGAUGGCCAGUUGAAGUCAAAGGGGGCUUUCAAGAAGGAUCUAAUGAAGGCUUGUAAGAAGAACCUCCCUACCAAUGAAGUCAACAAGCCUAUCUUCAUGGGAAGCCACCUUUCCUGGAGAAGAAAUCUUGCUUCUUGGAGACAACUGCCUUUAAGCUCAUGGAUUAACGUACCAGGAUGUUAAAUUGACUUUCAUUGUAUUCUUAGAGCCUUAACUGAGACCCCAGAACAAAGAAAGAGCCUACACAUAUCCCUUAAUUGACUUGAAGAAGGCCAAGAGAGGUAUUUCUAAGUAACUGAAGUAAUGCUUGAAUGUUGGCCGAAGAGCACUGCAGUGCGCGUAAGCUCUGGUGAACCCCAUCUAGUCAGUUGCAAGCUUAGAGCCAAAACUGAAGUUUUCUAGAGAAGAAAUUCAGCGUCAAGACUGUAGCCUAGAAGUCCUGCCCAAGUUUCCAACCUGCUGGCCCGCCCUAUGGAUUUCAGAUUCAAGACUGCAACAUCAACUUUUACUUGAAAUUCCAGCCUACAGAGUCACUAAACUGCAUGGAUAUAAGCUUGAAGCUGCAGGUGGCCAUAAACGCUUGAGGAGAUCCUGGGCCUGAAAAUGAAGGCAACAUAAAGGAAAACCAAAGCGAGACAGAGAGAGAGAUACAUUCCUUGAACAUGAUGCCUGAAGUUCUCCAAAAGCCCAAUAGAAUAAACACAAGCUGCCACUUGGGAAAACAAUUCUCAAGAAAAGCCCUGCUGGGGAGGAAAAAGUAAGGCAAUCCAAAAAGCUGCCAAGUGACCACAUUUUUGGUGGAAUGGGUAAAAAAGGCAAAUUUAACCUCUGGCAGACCUUGAUUGGAAACAUUUGUGAACAUUUUACCUGGUGAUGAGUCUUGGGUUUUACAUCAGCCAACAGCCAUGACAGGAGACGACAGAAAAAAGGGGGAAUCUUUUACAGGCUUGUAGAAAGAUAAAUCUGAAAAGGAGUUUUUCCCCAUAGACCAGCUCUGCUUAUGAGAUGCUCACAGUGAGUUGUCAGAACAGAGAACCUUGAGGUAGGCAUUAAUAAGAAUUGCACUAACUUUCCCUGAGGGACCAAGAAACUGGGAUUCUCUAGCCAACGUUUUGUCCUCAGAACCACUGCUCACCCAGCUCCACGGAGGAUUUUCCCCUCAGCCUAUCCCUCAGGGCUUACCUUGUACACAGUUUCAGCUACUACUGGAAAAUGACUCCGCCAAAGAAUUACUGUUGGAAUAGAUGCUCCUAACUCCUUUGCUAGAAUAAACAAGGAUUGUGGGUUGAAUAUAAAUUAUUAAAAUGUAUUAACUUUCUUCUGGACAAGUCUGGUGCUAGUUAUCACCUUUGCCUCCAGGAAAGGUAAAUGGGUUGUGUGUGUUGCGGGCUGAACUGGCACCUGAAAAAAUUGUUAAGUAGCAAAGUUUGUCUUGAUGACUCCUGUUCCAGAACAUCCCCUAUUCCCUUUCUGGGGUCUCUUUUGCCGCCCACCAUUUCCAUUCCUGUGUCUUUCUGAACACCUGGCACCUCCUAUUAGCUUUAUGGGCCUGUCUCUUCUCCAAGUGCAGCUGUGCCUCAGCCCCCACCAAGGCUCCCUUCUCCUCUGUGCCACUAUGCCAAUGAGAUUUCCUGAUGGGUAGGGUAUCAGAUUUCCUGAUGGGUAGGAUAUAAUUUAGUAUCCAAAACUGGACAAUUUUAAGAGUAAAAGAGAGCUGAGCUAUUAAUAAUAGUUUUAGUCUUUUUAGGCCACUAUAAUAAAAUAGUAUGGACUGGGUAGCUUAUAAGCAACGGACAUGUAUUUCUUACAGGUCUGGGGCCUGGGAAGUCCAGGAUCAAGAUGCUGGCAGAUACAGUGUCUGGUGAGGCCUGCUUUCUGAUUCAUAGAUGGUGCCUCCUCACUGAGUCCUCACAUGGUGGAAGGGGCAAACAAGCCCCCUUGGGCCUCUUUUAUAAGGAAACAAUCCCAUUAAUGAGGGUGGAACCUCACAAAAUGUCCCGCCUUCUAAUACUAUCACCUUGGGGGCUAGAAUUUCAACCUAUGAAUUUUUAGGGGGACAUAAACUUCACAGCAUGUCAUUAUACCUACAUGACAACAUUUUAGUUCACCCCCGAGAGUAUAUUUGUAUUUCCACAGGGGUCUUCUAAUGAUAUUUUGUUUUGACCUAGAAAAAGACUCCUAAGGUUGAAGAUUCUGAUGUUCUGACAUAGUAACAGCAAAGCCAUCACCCAUGUAACCACAUGUUUCAGGAGAAGCUGACCCUACAGCCAGCUCCACUGGUAAGUCUAAUUGGUCCAAGGGUCAUCUUUAUCCCUGUACCAGAGAUUGGCUCAUGGGGCUAAUGACCCAGCUCCAGCCAAUGACACAUCAGGGGAAUCUGCUGGAGGAUUUCCAAAAAGAGUUUCCUCAUUCCAAACAGAAGACCAUAAGAAAAGAUUGUCAUGCCUAUAAUUGCUGCAGCUAUUUUAAUUCCAGGUAUGAGGCUGAAACAAUCUUUGAUGGCCAAGUGAAGAGAUGGAAAAAGCAGGAUCCAGGAUGACUUUGUGAGUUGCUAGGUUACCAACCCCUGCUCUGCUUCUGGACUUCAAAUAUGAAACGACACUUGUUUUCUUACUUAAGUCCUUAAGUCGGGGUUUUCUGUUAAUUAUAGCCAAUAACACUCAGAUAUGCCAUGAAAUUUAAGAAUGUGAAAUAAUGGCCUUGACUUUCACAGAACUGGAAGGAAUGUGACUGUCAUGUCACUAACUGUCACUAUCACUUGUUGGACAAUUAAGGCUGCUAUUUAUCUUACCUUGUGUUGUUGCUUAUCUUUCUAUGGGAUUAUGUUGAAUAUGCAUCCAAUCUGGAACUUUAAAAAAUCAAAGUCAGUGAUAGAUCUUUUACUUCUUUGUAGGCCUAUAAUCCAUUACAUAACCCACACAUUUCCUGUCAAUCAUUAACUCCCUUCUUAUUCUAACCACAUCGAUUUUUUUGGAAGGUGACCAAAAUGCUAUCUCUAUUUGGAGAUAAUAAUUAGUCUCAUCUUCAUUGGUUUCCUCUUGAAUGUGGAGGGAAUUAUCAGAUGAGUAAAUUGGAACAUGGUGGCCAUGUGGCCUGCUGCCCCCGUGUACCACUUGGAGACCAGCCUGGCAUGGAAAUGACCAGAUGUUGGAAGCUGAGCUGUUGGUGAGUGAAAUGAAUAAGUUAGCUGUUCCACUUCCCAUCUGCAUGGACAGCUUCUGCAUUGCAAAACUGCCGGUGCUUGUCAUUUCACAUGGCAGCAGUUAAUCUCUUAACCCCUUCCUAAACUUGGCGUUGGAAAGCCCUCAAUGGCCAAUUAGGCUGUGUGGGUAUAUGUACACUAGUGCCCAUCGGCCACAGGAAUAGAAGCAGUGGCACAAUUCAGAUCACUACCAAGAUACACAGAUGCUCCUGGAUCUGAGGAAGUGACCUAUAGAAAAUGAAGAAUGACCAGAUAAAGGCAAUAAGAAUGGAAGUAGAGGGGCUUAUUAAGCAGCUCUGGUUAAGCAGAGAAAGGAUGAUGGUUCCACAUGUAGAGUGUGCCAAAAAUGGGCUUGUUUCACAGGUUAUUUGAACACAGAAGCAGAGCUUUCUUUCUCUCUCCAUUCAUUAUUUUUCUGAGUAGACUAAUAAUAUACGCUUUUUGUGAAACAUUUGAAAAAUGGAAGAAAGUAUAAGAAAAAAAUAAAAAUCACCUAUACACUUAUCUCCUAAUAUAUCUGUUCAGGCCUUUUUUUCUAGUUUUGUGAUCAUAUUUUUUCAGUCAACAAAUAUUUUUAUUUCCACAAAUAUUUAAUGCAUUUUGUAUGUGUCAGACACCAUGCCAGGUACUACGAAUAUACUUGUGUUCAAUAAUUUGCAUAAUUCCUUAUCUCCUAGAACUUUGAGUCUAGCAGAAGUGAGAUAGAAACACACAACUGCAUUAAGAAUUAUUUAAUCUCAAAUUUGACAAGCUCAGCAAAGAACAAGUAUGAAGUUUUCUGGAAGAAUGGGGCAUCCUAACCUAGCCUGGAUGUAGGGAGUGCACCUAAAAGAAAAUAUCUGAAGGUGAGACUGGAAUAGUGAGAAACUGCUGGCCAGAGGUCAAUGUGCUGGUCCUAGAGGGGUAGAGUAGGGCAGGCUGGGAACAGAAAGGAAAAUUGCUGGUUGGGGAAUAGCUUGCCUGAGGUCUUGAUGAGGAGACAGUGACUCGAUGGGGGUGAAGUGGCUUUGUGGAAAUUAGGAAGAAAAAUAGAAGCCAGAUCCCACAGGACAAGUAUUGACAAACAGCAGCCCAGGGGCCAAAUCCAGCACCCCACCUGUUUUUGUGAAUAAAAUUUUAUUGGAACAGAGCCACAUCCAUUGAUUUAAAUAAUUUCUGUGGUUGUUUUCACACCACACUGGCAGGGAUGAAUAGUUGUUACAAAGACUGUAGGGUCCACAAAGCUUAAAGUAUGUACUAUCUGGCCUUUUCCAGAAAAUUUUGCUGACCCCCGCUAUGGGGUUUUGUGAUUGAGCAUAUGGUGGAAUUCUUUUACCACAAGUACAAUGGGAAGACUUCGAGAGGAAAGCAAGGAAGAAAUCAUCAGAUUUUUCUUUUAAAAGAACUUUAGCUACAGAAGUAUGUAGAGAUUAGAACUGGAGACUCUGGAUGGAUAUUGGACACCUAAGAGUAUCCAGGAUACAGGGGUUGGUGGUUUGGACUCAGGUUGUGUCAAGCGAGCACAGAAUAAAAGAGACAGAUUUGAGGUCUCUUUAGCAAUUGUAUGGGACAGGACUUCCCAAUCAGGUGGCUGAUUGGGAAGGGGAAGUAAGGAUAGAGAGGUGUUCAGGAACACCCAGGUUUCUGCCUGGUGCAUCUGCGUGGAUGAGGGUGUCAUCAGCCACAUUGGGAGCUGUUGGGGAGAAGCAAGAGUGAGAGGGAAAGUCAGGAGCUUUUAGCACCUGUCUAGCUUAGUCACGGUGGGUAAUACAAUAAAUCCCUAUUAAUGGACAUGUAGAUUGUUUCUAUUAUUUUUCUUUUUAAAAUAAUGCUGUGAUGCAGUAAAAGGAACAGUCGGCAGAGUAAACAGGCAACCCACAGAGUGGGGGAAAUCUUUACAAUCUAUACACCUGACAAAGAACUAAUAUCCAGAAUCUACAAUGAACUCAAACAAAUCAGUAAGAAA